rnacentral:rRNA from 1 species
UGGGGAAUAUUGCACAAUGGGCGAAAGCCUGAUGCAGCGACGCCGCGUGAGGGAUGACGGCCUUCGGGUUGUAAACCUCUUUCAGUAGGGACGAAGCGCAAGUGACGGUACCUGCAGAAGAAGCACCGGCUAACUACGUGCCAGCAGCCGCGGUAAUACGUAGGGUGCGAGCGUUGUCCGGAAUUACUGGGCGUAAAGAGCUCGUAGGCGGUUUGUCACGUCGUCUGUGAAAUCCUAGGGCUUAACCCUGGACGUGCAGGCGUUACGGGCUGACUUGAGUACUACAGGGGAGACUGGAAUUUCUGGUGUAGCGGUGGAAUGCACAGAUAUCAGGAAGAACACCGAUGGCGAAGGCAGGUCUCUGGGUAGUAACUGACGCUGAGGAGCGAAAGCAUGGGUAGCGAACAGG